rnacentral:rRNA from 1 species
GAUCAUGACUCAGGAUGAACGCUAGCUACAGGCUUAACACAUGCAAGUCGAGGGGCAUCAGGGUGUAGCAAUACGCCGCUGGCGACCGGCGCACGGGUGAGUAACACGUAUCCAACCUGCCCUUUACUCGGGGAUAGCCUUUCGAAAGAAAGAUUAAUACCCGAUGGUAUAACAUGACCUCCUGGUUUUGUUAUUAAAGAAUUUCGGUAGAGGAUGGGGAUGCGUUCCAUUAGGCAGUUGGCGGGGUAACGG